GGGGAUUUAGCUCAGUUGAUAGAGUAGUUGCCUGGCAUGCAUAAGGCCCUGGGUUCAAUCCCCA
rnacentral:tRNA from 1 species